GGAUACUCUCUGCUCUGCAGCUCCAUGGUUCUCUACGAGUGCCAGUCUGGAUACAAGCUGCUGGGCUCUUCAUCAAUCAGCUGCGACCUAAACACCAGGAAGUGGAGACCGACACCACCAUCCUGCCAAGAUAUAAAUGAAUGUGAAGAAACCGUUUCACCAUGUCCUAAAGAUAUGAGGUGCCUUAAUACCCCAGGUUCCUUUGUGUGUGUAGAGCCAACCACACAAACCACAGCCUCCAUCAUCACUGCAGUCAUUGUGGUCAUUGGUGGUGUGGCCCUUUUGGUAACGACGAUGA
rnacentral:lncRNA from 1 species